UGACAGGUGGUGCAUGGUUGUCGGUCAGCUCGUGUCGUGAGAUGUGGGUUAAGUCCCGCAACGAGCGCAACCCUCGCCUCUAGUUGCCAGCAUUCGGUUGGGCACUCUAGAGGGACUGCCGGCGACAAGUCGGAGGAAGGUGGGGAUGACGUCAAAUCAUCAUGCCCCUUAUGACCUGGGCUACACACGUGCUACAAUGGGCGGUACAAAGGGCUGCGAACCCGCGAGGGGGAGCGAAUCCCAAAAAGCCGCUCUCAGUUCGGAUUGCAGGCUGCAACUCGCCUGCAUGAAGCCGGAAUCGCUAGUAAUCGCGGAUCAGCAUGCCGCGGUGAAUACGUUCCCGGGCCUU
rnacentral:rRNA from 1 species